rnacentral:rRNA from 1 species
GGCCAUACCACCCUGAAUGUGCCCCAUCUCAUCUGAUCUCAGAAGCUAAGUGGGGUCGGGCCUGGUUAGUACUUGGAUGGGAGAGAUGUGGCAGCU